rnacentral:rRNA from 1 species
UACAGAGGUCUCAAGCGUUGUUCGGAUUCAUUGGGCGUAAAGGGCGCGUAGGCGGCGGGGUAAGUCUGGUGUGAAAUCUAGGAGCUCAACUCCUAAACUGCACUGGAUACUGCUCUGCUAGAGGACUGGAGAGGAGACUGGAAUUCACGGUGUAGCAGUGAAAUGCGUAGAUAUCGUAAGGAAGACCAGUGGCGAAGGCGGGUCUCUGGACAGUUCCUGACGCUGAGGCACGAAGGUCAGGGGAGCAAACGGG